rnacentral:rRNA from 1 species
AUGAUACUAAGAGAUUCAGAGGGAGCAGUCAUCUUCUCAGCUUAUCGUUAUCUGUUCCAUUGCAAAGAUGCCCUAGAAUCUGAAAUCAGUGCUGUCUUGGAAGGAGUUUCACUCAGUUUGGAACGAUCAAAUCUUCCUAUUGUAGUUCAGUCUGAUAGCUCUAUUGUGGUUGCAGCAUUGACGGAUGAUUCACUCCAAAGAUCUGCUUAUGGACACCUUAUAAUGGAAAUCAAAAGACUCCUGGAACCGCGUGGGUUUAUUCCGCAGAAGCUCGAGCGUCAUCAAAAUGUUGCUCAUAGUCUUGCUAAUAUUGGCCGUUCUGGAGGUAGCACCGCCUGUUGGUUGCGCCAUGUCCCAGUCAGUAUUUCUAACCUUGUAUUAGCCGACUGUAACACUAUUACCGAGGAAUAA